GGCUGGUCCGAUGGCAGUGGGUUAUCAGAAUUAUUAACAUUAGUGUCACUAAAGUUGAUAUACCACCCCCCCCCACUGCUAAAUUUGACUGGCUUUAA
rnacentral:Y_RNA from 1 species